UAUUCAUAUAAUUUAAAUGAAAAUAUUACACUGAAGCUGUAAAAAUGAUAAUUUAUCUGUGAAUAU
rnacentral:tRNA from 1 species